rnacentral:rRNA from 1 species
GUAGGGUGCAAGCGUUAAUCGGAAUUACUGGGCGUAAAGCGUGCGCAGGCGGUUAUGCAAGACAGAGGUGAAAUCCCCGGGCUCAACCUGGGAACUGCCUUUGUGACUGCAUGGCAGAGUACGGUAGAGGGGGAUGGAAUUCCGCGUGUAGCAGUGAAAUGCGUAGAUAUGCGGAGGAACACCGAUGGCGAAGGCAAUCCCCUGGACCUGUACUGACGCUCAUGCACGAAAGCGUGGGGAGCAAACAGGAUUAGAUACCCUGGUAGUCCACGCCCUAAACGAUGUCAACUGGUUGUUGGGAGGGUUUCUUCUCAGUAACGUAGCUAACGCGUGAAGUUGACCGCCUGGGGAGCACGGCCGCAAGGUUG